rnacentral:rRNA from 1 species
CCUACGGGAGGCAGCAGUGAGGAAUAUUGGUCAAUGGCCGCGAGGCUGAACCAGCCAAGUCGCGUGAAGGACGACGGUGCUAUGAGUUGUAAACUUCUUUUGUCAGGGGGCAAACGCAGGCACGCGUGCCUGACCGAGAGUACCGUAAGAAAAAGCAUCGGCUAACUCCGUGCCAGCAGCCGCGGUAAUACGGAGGAUUCGAGCGUUAUCCGGAUUUAUUGGGUUUAAAGGGUGCGUAGGCGGACGGUUAAGUAAGAGGGAAAACCCCGGGGCUCAACCCCGGAGAGCCUUUGAAACUGGGCGUCUUGAGAGUUCUAGAGGUAGGCGGAAUGUGUGGUGUAGCGGUGAAAUGCUUAGAGA